CUGGCAGCAUUGAUUCCACAAACAAGAAGAGCACUUGAAUCUCCUUGGAGCUGCUGCUGCUCUAGAGAGGAGAGACGCACCUCAUUUGCUCGGCUUCCCAAGGGGUGGUGACGAUGCCUUUAUCAACAGCCUCUCCUGCCAGUGUCAUGUCAAGAGCCCGGCUGCUGGGCCAUCACUCCACUUUGACUUUCCCUCGUCUGGCACUGUGAGAGACAGUUCUCUACCCCCACUGCAUCAAGAUCAUCUCUGCAAGCAGCACCCCAAGCAAUGGGACAUAAAGUGAGAGCGACACUGUCAACACGCAGAGCAAACGGACCCUUCCUAGAAGAGCCAGCCUGUAAGACGGAUGAACCUGCCAGGCAAAUGAAGCGAGGACGGAGCACAGGGACAGCGGAGGGAUGAACCUUCCAGGCACCGAAGCCAGGGCAAGGCACGGCCAUUCCUGGCGUCCAAGAAGAAGCGGUUCCAUUUCCAGCAAGGCAUCCUGGGUGUUCUGGUGUCUGAGCCCCUCCUUGGUUCUAACCCUCAGGAGAAGGAGCACAGUCCUUUCCUUCUCCUAUGUGGCAGGCCUUCGGAGAGUCCAAGACAGCGAUCACACCUCUCCUCAAUCUCCUCUUCCCAAGGAUGGACAUGCCCAGCUUGCUUCUUCGACUGCUCCUCGUAGAACUUGG